rnacentral:rRNA from 1 species
UACGUAGGGGGCUAGCGUUGUCCGGAUUUAUUGGGCGUAAAGAGCGUGUAGGCGGCCAGGUAGGUCUGGUGUGAAAACUCGAGGCUUAACCUCGAGAUGUCAUCGGAAACCAUUUGGCUAGAGUCCGGAAGAGGAGAGUGGAAUUCCUGGUGUAGCGGUGAAAUGCGCAGAUAUCAGGAAGAACACCAAUGGCGAAAGCGGCUCUCUGGGACGGUACUGACGCUGAGACGCGAAAGCGUGGGGAGCGAACAGG